rnacentral:rRNA from 1 species
UACGGAGGGGGCUAGCGUUGUUCGGAAUUACUGGGCGUAAAGCGCACGUAGGCGGCUUUGUAAGUUAGAGGUGAAAGCCCGGAGCUCAACUCCGGAAUUGCCUUUAAGACUGCAUCGCUAGAAUUGUGGAGAGGUAAGUGGAAUUCCGAGUGUAGAGGUGAAAUUCGUAGAUAUUCGGAAGAACACCAGUGGCGAAGGCGACUUACUGGACACAUAUUGACGCUGAUGUGCGAAAGCGUGGGGAGCAAACAGG